rnacentral:tRNA from 1 species
GGGCUCGUAGCUCAGUUGGGAGAGCGCCGCGUUCGCAACGCGGAGGCCGAGGGUUCGAAUCCCUUCGAGUCCACCA